UGAGGCCCCAGUAGUAAACCACAAGCUUGAAAGAAGCUCAGAAGAGAGUGAAAAAAGCAGACUUCAAGAGCAACAGGAGGAUACAGUUUCUCCAUUCGAGAUGCCGGCGCAGACUUCAAAGGGAAACUCCACAGCAGCAGCCCUCCUGGCUUCUGCUGAAACCAUACAUGGCUGACCUACAAAAUGUACCUGUGGAGAGACAAAGACGCUGUACAGUCACUUUUAUGAAAUCUAUGAAAUUCAUAGUUCCGAUGCUUUUGUCCAUAGAGCAUCAUUUUAUCACGUUGUGGAAAACAUUUAUUCCAAGAGAGCUUUAAAUAUCCCCACCGUACCCUCAACAAACUCGGAGCUCUUUCCGCUGUCACCAGCCCGCUGCUGUUGCUGCUACGUAUUCAUUCCAUCCACACAAUUGAGAGUUCUCUUCCUCCUGUGUGCGGCCUACAAUCAGAAUCUUCCCCUCCUGAAAGGUUUUGAAUUUGGAAUUACUCAGUUAAAUUUGCUGCCUUUGGGGCCUUCCUUAUUGAUUUCUUUUACUGUCAACACUUAAACAUGUUUUCUUUCCGAAGCUGAUCAUGUCUCAUUUUCACUUUUUGAUUAAUAAGCAUACCACACUCUAUUUAAGAUGUGCCUUUUUUUUUUUAAUUAUUGCAAAGUUAAGAUGUGUCCUUUUUUUGUUCUGUAAGUACAUCACAGUCAGAUUGCAAAGUCAGUUACCGCCAUUCUGCUGCCAGCAUACUCAUGAAUGCUAGUGUUUACUUUUUUUGCCUUUUUUUUAUGAAGAGAAAUGGAUCUGGAGGGACUGGGCUCUUCCUCUGUUGAAAUAGGGUGUGUGUAUCAACAAGCAGGUAUAUUCAAUUGGCAGUUAAGUUUGUGUACAAAUGUAAUUAUGUUCAUUGUGUAUAUAUUAUACAAUGAGCACAACUAAUGUAAGUAUAAGAAACCACUUAUUGUUCAAAUGCAAAUGUUCAUAUCUCAUUUCUUUUAUAUCAUGUUAUAAAUAAAUGUUGAUGUUCUUAA